ensembl:lncRNA
CACACACACACACAGCAGACGCUUUUCCAUUCUGUCAGCGGCGAGCAGCACACUGGUCCCUUCCAAACUCAGCGCCACUUCAUUAAAUGACUUCAGACUCCUGGCAAAGGCAGUGGGAAAAGUUGAUAUUAACUGUGUGUGAGAUCUACAGGGCAGCCAACAAAGGCUGCAGUUGUUCCCCCGCCUCCUUUUUUCUCUUACACGGCUCUAGCGGUACCCGAGAACCUCACGGUACAAUAUUGGAGAACACGCACAUCUGUAACCUUGUGUUACACAUUUCUAAAUACAUCAAGGAGGCUGGGCAAGCCGGUCCACUUUGCAGCACGUCUGAUGACAUCACCGAGCAUGAUUGGCUGAUCUGAAGUGGCGGAGAGCAGGUGGGUGUGCGAGCGGCACAGUUGGUUCGCUGAAUCGAGAUGUUUGCAUGAGCUCAUUGCUUUCGGCAAGCUGCAAAAACAGCUGACUAACAACACAGGUACAGUUCGCUGCAACAGGUCCACCGUUGUCCAGACAGAGCAGCUGGCUGACGGCCGGCUAAAAACCAUAAAAACCAGAAUUCUUUCAUUGCGAAAUAAUAAAUGACUGUGCAGUUUAAAAAAAAAAAUAUUUCACCUCUGAAUAUUUCAAGACAUGGUUCAACGGCAAAUAUAACAGCCAGGCGUGGCUGGUAUAGUAAACAAAGCUAAACAUCAGUAUAAUGUUUAUAUAUAAUGCUUAUAAUCAUUAAUAAACUGGAUUACGUUGUUGAACCGCAUUCCCCAGCACCACAGAAAUGAAGCUGGGGCUGAUUUCUCUCAAGCCCAGGCUCAUGUAAAUCCAUGCAGCCUUGAGUGCCAGUGUCAGGUGAUUACACAGAGUGACACACCCACUAGACUUGAUCUAUUAUAUGAUACAACACAUUGCUGAACUCUGAUCUAAUAUCACCGCUGGUGGCAGAGAGAGCUGGAUUACAAAUGCCAAACUGAAAUAACCAUCAGAAAGAGCAGCUGGAGAGAUUUCCCGACUGCACGCAGAAUUCCGCUCGACUUAUACGGCGUUAAAAGCCUCUCGCUCUCAGCCGCGUCAGACCCGAUGUGCGCCAGUGCCAAUAUCAGACUCCAGGCACCAGAAAGGAAGAGCUCCAUUACACUCCUGGAAUCGGCGUUUACAGUGCUGGAGCUUGGGCCCGAUCUUAUAACCGGCCUUCGCAUAAAUCUCUGGAUUGGUCUAAUUACUCAGUUGGGUGCACUUUUGCUCCCCGCUCUGGUUUCAUGGUCAUUUCUGAUGUAGCGAGGCAGCAAAAACAAGCCUGGCUUCAGCAGCCUCCUGCUCCGGCACAAUGGCUGCCUUUUACAGCACCGCCACUGACACUCACGGGUGAACGCAGAGCGCUGCGGCUGCUGGGAUGCAGUGAUGUCAUCGUUCAGGGGUUGUCUGAUGUAGAGCAAAGGCCGAGAGACAGAGAUGGAGAGACUGAGAGAGAGACAGACAGAGAGAGCGAGAGAGAGAGCACUCAUCGUGGUCUUUUACGCAAACAAGCAUACAGUGGAAAAAGCUGGCUUGUAAUAUUAAAAUAUUAAUAUGUCAAUGUCAAGACACCGAAAAAUGUGCAGACACACACACACACACACACACACCCCCUCUCCUAACCAUGCUAGCCUUCUUUGCUUUACCGAUUUACUGAAAGUUUCUUUUAAUUAAGUGCAUUUCAAUAUAAAUCAUCCUAUACUACUACAAUCUGCUAGACAGAACCAACAUUAAGCAACGCUACACUAUGCAUUCGUGUCGCAUAAAUGCACUUGCACUUCAACUUUCCAGACACUACAUAUGAUAUAUAUAUAUAUAUAUAGGAUAUGUAUGCAAGUAUAACACAUCGUAGUAAAGCAUACACAGUGCAUCUCAUUAACACCUCGUAAAACGGUAUUUGAGAAAAAGAGAUGUCUUGGUUAAAUGUUGAAAACUGUUAACGACUUUUAAAAGUAAGACGUGAGGAAGAAAACACGUCAGCGGAACGUCCUGAACUGUUUUAUUCCUCUUAUACCAGAACACUUUGCAAAGUACAUUUUUAAUUCAUUAUUCAUUUAAAAACAAACAAUGACACAUUUGAUCCUUCUCGAGUUACAGUCAAUGUUGUGGAAACAAGUUAGUUCCUGAGAAACACUUCACAAUACUAACUACACUAACACGACUACUACACUAACACUACUAAGUGUUACGUCAUUACUAUCAACUACUGAUGAAUAUUUAACCAAGAUACGGUACAGAAGUCUCUGUAAUUACUGCUUAGUUCAUAAUAAACUACCAAACAUUUACUUCAUUAUUAGUUACACAGUAAUUACCCAGCAUUCCUUAGUGGUGACAUAGUUGUGAAUAUAGAACAAUGCGUUCGAUAUACGUUUUCAGCUUAUUUAAAGUUUUACCGGCGCAUUUAAUGUUGUGAAACGUCCACGAAGCUUCCGGUCAUUUAUGUUAUAGCAGCUGUAAACAGAUGUUCACACUCCAGCUUCUCUUUUUUCCCCUUCUCUUGAAAUUACCAAAACAAAUAAACACUCCUGGUCACGUUACUGAGAAAACCGCAACGUGUAAACUCCUCUGUCCUGAAGACUUGCAGGCUUUAACGCUGACGCUUGAGACUCCGUCCGAAACUGUUAAUCGACCGUCUCCUUUACAGAAAGCUUAACCUUAUCUGCGAUUAUAGCUAACGUUAUUCUUUGCUUGAAAUGUAUUUAUUUUUUUAAAACGGAACGUUUUUAAAAUCAGCCGAUUAUUCGUUAGAACGAGCGGAUUAAUAUAAACCUGUGAUGUGCCUCGUAGCCGGAACUACCCUCGGAGCUGCAUUUAUGGAAAAUCGAUCAACACCUAAGAGGUACAACUAAAGGUAGCACAAAGUAUUGACUAAAAGGAUGCCAAUAACUGUCGCACACCUACAUUUAACGAAUAUAUUUUUUAAUAAGCUUGUGUUGUGUUUGCAAUUGUUUGAUAUCAAUGAGAGCAGAGUAUUUUUGCGAUUUUUUUUUUUUAUAAAAAAGAUCCAUAACUUAAACAGUAAAGGUAAUUUUUUAAAGCCUUCUUUGUUCAUAUUUACCAAGGGUGCCAAUAUUAGUGGAGGGCAACGUAUAGACUUAAUCAAUUUAUUAAGAGCCUUUUUCCCUACAUAAAGCAACAAAAGAAAGUUUCGGACUUGUGUCAUCAUAAAAUUUUCAACAUAGAUGCUUUGCCUAUUACAAAUUUACGCAGAUGAUGAUGUUACGAGUCCUGCUAUGAUAAAAGUCCCCGGUCACCGCAUGUGUGUGUGUGGGUGUGGGUGUGUGGGUGUGGGUGUGUGGGUGUGUGCGCGUGCGUGUUUGGAGGAUGCAGAGCGAAAGGAAAAAAUUUCCAGCAGUUCAAAGGCGGCGCUCUUUAAAGGGGUAACGUGACGAGCAGCUCCUGCACACGGUCUCAAGAUUCAACUCCGUUUGUUUGUUCUAAUUAAAACAGGCUAGCAUGGAAUGCCUGGCCUAAUGAAGCCAUUCAUUUUACCGUGCAAAUCCACGGCUGAGAGGAAAAAGAGCUGACCCCCUCUGAAGUGGAAGGUCAUGAGUUUUAACACUGAUAGUUCACACAUUAUGUAAACACACACACACACACACACACACAUCACCCCCCCCAGCUCGGUGAUUUAAUUCAUAAUCCCAGAUACGCGACUCAUCCACAGCUUUUUAGCACAGCAUGUCAGAGUGUGAAUACUGAUCCAUGAUCCCUCUCCUAUCUUGAUAAAGGAUGUGAAAAGGAAAAAAAAAUGCAUGCAUGACGUGACAUAUUUCUAUUUCGUCUGCAGUUCUGUAUUAAUAUUGUCCUUGAAUUCACCUUUUUUUUAUCUUUAUUUUUUUUUUUUUUUUAACGGUUAUCAUGGGAAUUGUAUUGGUUUUAAUGGAAACUGUAAUGGUCCCUGUGGGUCUCUACAGGCAAAUUGUUGCCUUCUAUUGGUGGAAUGUUAUGUCUAGUGGACCAAUAAUAGUCAUGUAAUGUUUUUAAUGGUUAGCUGAUGGUUUGUAAUGGUAUUUGUAGUGGAAACCAUUAGAAUUUCUGUGAUGGUUUCUACUGUUACAUAGUUCAAGCUCAAAGGUUCUCUAAUUGAAGUCCAAGAAGGCCAGUAUUGGGGGGCGGGGGGGGGGGGGAGAGAGAAUUUAUUUAUUUAUUUAUUUACAUUUUAUUAUAAAUCACAAGUCACUAUUAUAAGUUUUUAGCCAAUUGGACUGGUCACUUGAAGGGGAUGGGUUUAAUCCAAACAACCCUCAACAACCAAAUAAUAAUAAUAAUAAUAAUAAUAAUAAUAAUAAGCCACAAUAUUAUUGUUCAUAUUUUAAAUACUUUAUUUAUUUAUUUAUUUAGACUUUUUUUCUGCACUGAGGAAAUCCGUGGAGUUUAUUUUACAGUUUAAUUGUUUAAAAAAGGAAGUUUGUGAACCCCUGACUAUGGUUAGCAUGUAGCUAACAACAUCCUCUCAGAAGGCAGAACGUAACGCCAAAAAGUUGCGCAAUAACAAUUACGCUGAUCGGAGCGUUGUUUUGAACUAGAUAAAAAGCUGUUAAAUUAUUCGGAAUGUUGACGGUAUUCGCUUGUGUUCGGGGGUUUAAAUAGUGUAUAAACAGGAAAAACUGUCACUUUUGACAGAAAGAGAAAUAUAUUUGCUGAAAGAAAAGAAAACAACAGCACACAAGCGUGCUAAACAGUAUGGCAAAACACAAUGUUACCUAAACCGCCUUAUAUUCACUGUGGUAACUAUAGCAACCUGGUGUACUACUCUGGUGUUAUGCAGUCGCGUGCGCGUUUGCUUUGUUUUAGGUCCUUCAUGUUAAAGAGAGUAAACAGAGCCGGAUGUGUACCAGCUACCCGAGACGAGAAACAGUGCAAGAUCUACCUACUAUCACUGCUGUGUCUGUGUGUGUGUGUGUGUGUGUAUGUGUGUCAGCGUUUAAUUAUUAAUCCAUAUCCUCACCUACCUGAGAGAAGUGAAGUGACACGUCCAUGACUUGUAGUAGACUGUUUUACAAACAGCGUGUAUCGUGUAAACGUGUUGUUUACAAAGUGUGAAAACACUAUUCCGAUUGGCUCAGGACAAAACAAGUCGACGCCCCGAAACCUCAGUUCUCAACAGGCUUGCUG